rnacentral:rRNA from 1 species
GACGAACGCUGGCGGCGUGCUUAACACAUGCAAGUCGAACGGAAAGGCCCCUUUGGGGGUGCUCGAGUGGCGAACGGGUGAGUAACACGUGAGUAACCUGCCCUGGUCUUUGGGAUAACCUUCGGAAACGGGGGCUAAUACCGGAUAUUCCCGUUUUCACGCAUGUGGGGGUGGGGAAAGUUUUUUCGGAUCAGGUUGGGCUCGCGGCCUAUCAGCUUGUUGGUGGGGUGAUGGCCUACCAAGGCUUUGACGGGUAGCCGGCCUGAGAGGGCGACCGGCCACACUGGGACUGAGACACGGCCCAGACUCCUACGGGAGGCAGCAGUGGGGAAUAUUGCACAAUGGACGCAAGUCUGAUGCAGCGACGCCGCGUGAGGGAUGACGGCCUUCGGGUUGUAAACCUCUUUCGCCAAGGACGAAGCGAAAGUGACGGUACUUGGAGAAGAAGCGCCGGCCAACUACGUGCCAGCAGCCGCGGUAAGACGUAGGGCGCAAGCGUUGUCCGGAUUUAUUGGGCGUAAAGAGCUCGUAGGCGGCUCAUUGCGUCAACCGUGAAAACCUGGGGCUCAACUUCAGGUCUACGGUUGAUACGGGUGGGCUGGAGUUCGGUAGGGGAGACUGGAAUUCCUGGUGUAGCGGUGAAAUGCGCAGAUAUCAGGAGGAACACCGGUGGCGAAGGCGGGUCUCUGGGCCGAUACUGACGCUGAGGAGCGAAAGCGUGGGGAGCGAACAGGAUUAGAUACCCUGGUAGUCCACGCUGUAAACGUUGGGCGCUAGGUGUGGGGGGCCUCUCCGGUUUCCUGCGCCGUAGC